UGGAAGCAACUUUGGAACUGGACAACAGGCAGAGGUUAGGGAAUAGUUUAGAGGACUCAAAAGAAGACAGGAAAAUGUUGAAAAGUUUGGAACUUCCUAGAGACUUGGAGGGCUCCGAAGACAGGAAGAUGUGGGAAAGUCUGGAACUUCCUAGACACUUGUUGAACGGCUUUGACCAAAAUGCCGAUAGUGAUAACAACAAUGAAGUCCAGGCUGAGAUGGUCUCAGAUGGAGAUGAGGAACUUGUUGGGAACUGGAAUAAUGGUGACUGUUGCAAUGCUUUAGCAAAGAGACUGGUGCCAUUUUGCCCCUGCCCUAGAGAUGUGAGAGAGAAUUUAGAGCAUCUGGUGGAAUAAAUUUCUAAGAAGCUCAAGAGGUGACCUGGGUGCUUUCAGUUUAUGCAUUCACAAAGAGGUGGUUUGAAAUUGGAACUUAUGUCUAAAAGGGAAGCAGAGCACAAAGAUUUGGAAAAUUUGCAGCCUGAAGAUGCAGUAGAAAAGAAGAACCCAUUUUCUGGGGAGACAUUCAAGUCUGCUGCAGAAAUAUGCAUAAGUAACAAGGAGACAAAUGUAAAUUGCCAAGACAAGGGGGAAAAUGUCUCCAGGGCAUGUCACAGACUUUCAAGGCAGCCCCUCCUAUCACAGCCCCAUAGGCGUCAGAGGGAAAAAUGGUUUCAUGGACUGGGUCCAGGUGGGGAACUUGGUGCCUUGUGUCCCAGCCAUCCACCUGUGGCUAAAAGGGGCCAAGGUACAGCUCAGGCUAUUGCUUCAGAGGGUGCAAGCCUUAUACCUUGGCAGCUUCUGCAUGAUGUUGGGCCUGCGAGUAUGCAGAAGGCAAGAAUUGAGGUUUGGGAAUCUCUGCCUAGAUUUUAGAGGGUGUACGGAAAUGCCUGGAUGUUCAGGCAAAAGUCUGUGCACGGGUGGAACCAUCAUGGAAAGCCUCUGCUAGGGCAGUGUGGAAGGGAAAUGUGGGGUGGGAGCCCCCACACAGAGUCCCUACUGGGACACUGCCAAGUGGAGCUUUGAGAAGAGGGCCACCAUCCUCCAGACCCCAGAAUGGUAGAUCCACUGACAAUGGUAAAUCCACACUGCCAAGUGGAGCUUUGAGAAGAGGGCCACCAUCCUCCAGACCCCAGUGGUAGAUCCACUGACAAUGGUAGAUCCACUGCACUGUAUGCCUGGAAAAGCCACAGACACUCAACACCAGCCUGUGAAAGCAGCCAGAAGGGGGCCUGUACCCUGCAAAGCCACAGGGGAGAAGUUGCCCAAGACUGUGCAAGCCCACCUCUUGCAUCAGCAUGACCUGGAUGUGAGACAUGGAGUCAAAGGAGAUCAUGUUGGAGCUUUAAGAUCUAAUGACUGUCUUGUUGGAUUUCAGACUUGCAUGAAGCCUGUGGGCCCCUUUGUUUUGGCCAAUUUCUCCCGUUCUGAAAAGAAGUAUUCACCCAAUGCUUGUACCCUCAUUGCAUCUAGGAAGUAACUAACUUGCUUUUGAUUUUACAGGCUCCUAGGUGGAAGGGAAUUGCCUUGUCUUAGAUAAGAUCUUGGACUUGGACUUUUGGAUUAAUGCUGGAAUAAGACUUUUGGGGACUAUUGCGAAGACAUGAUUGUGUUUUGAAAUGUGAGGACAUGAGAUUUGGGAGGGGCCAAGAAUGAAAUGAUAUGGUUAUGCUUUGUGUCCCUACCCAAAUCUCAUCUUGAAUCGUAAUCCCCAUAGAUCCCAAGUGUCAAGGGAUGAACCUGGUGGGAGGUGAUUGGAUCAAGGGGGUUGUUUCCCCCAUGUUGUUCUCAUGACAGUGAGUUCAUUCUCAUGAGAUCUGAUGGUUUUACCAGGAGUUCUUCCCCCUUCACUCUCUGCUCACUCCAUCCUGCCACCCUAUGAGGAAGGUGCCUGCAUCUCCUUGUCUUCUGCCAGAACUGUAAGUUUCCUGAGGCCUUCUCCAGUCAUGCAGAACUGUGAGUCAAUUAAACCUCUUUCCUUUAUACAUCACCCAGUGUCAGGUAUUUCUUCAUAGCACUGUGAAAACAGAUUAAUAUACCCCUUUAUCAUUCAUGAUGCACUCAAAGUGUUUCAAUUAUUAGCUUCUUAUUUUUCUCUCAAUUAAAAUGUGAGCACCAAUUUUUCUUUUAAUAUCUAAUUUACUAGUGUUAAUUAUGUUGCCCAGAAUAUUAUAUUCAAUAUAUUAUUGCUGAAAAGUAAAUUUUGCCUAGUUAUUUGUCUUUCUUAUUCUUUAAUUUUUGUUAAAAAGUUACUAAAAUGUUAUAAGAACUAAGUUCUUAAGAUACCUGAUCUACCUGAAGAAAUGCUACUUACUUGCCUUCAUAUAUACCAAAACAAAAUCUUACCAAUACAAAUCUCAUUUAUGCAUGGAGUUAGGAAUUCCAAUUCAGGAAAGUAAGUUGAAUUCUUAUCCCAUUCUAUCAUAAUAAUUCCAGUUAUAGAAACACUAUCUGAUUUCCAGAACACUGAAAUGAAGAUUACCAAAAACUUUGCCUCAUUCCAAGCUGCACUAAAGGUUGAGAGGGUGUUUCUCCAGAGAAGGGUGACUCAAUGUACUAAAAUUGAAUCUGACCUUGGAGAUUUCUUUGAUUUUAAUAAAAGGACAUCAUGGAAUAUGAAGUUUUUUCAAUGACAUCUUUUAGGUAUUAAGCCGGCAACAACAGUGCUGCAAUAUGGAAGGAUUAUUAAAUGCAAAGCAGGUAUUUGAGGUCCAGAAGAUGAUGGGCAAGAUGAAAAACCUGAUCACUGAAGAAAAAAAGAAUCAGAAGUACAGCCAGGACCAGAUGCUGAAGAAGAUCAAUUUGAUGUGGAUUCAUAGACUCUAUGGGAUAAAUCAGGCAACAAAGCCAGUGGGAAUUAAGAAGCAGGCAGAAGUACAGCCAGGAGGUACACAGCUGAUUUAGCAUCUUUAUAGCUAUGAGUUUUCUUUUAAGCUCAUUCCCCUCUAAGAUACAUCUAUUGGUUUUGAAGUUACUGCUCCCUUAGACCAAUCUCAAUGGUGUUCUUGAACUUGAAAUCAAAAAGAUCUGCAUCCUCCUUCCAGCUCUGACGUGUAUUAGCUGCAUAAACCUAGACAAAAUGUUUAUAUUAUUUGAAUUACAAUGGGCAACAUAAUAUCUCACUCAGAAAUAUUAUGAAGAUUAAAUAAAAUAUUGAGUGUCAGCUACAUGGCACACUGU